CCUACGGGAGGCAGCAGUGGGGAAUUUUGGACAAUGGGCGCAAGCCUGAUCCAGCAAUGCCGCGUGAGUGAAGAAGGCCUUCGGGUUGUAAAGCUCUUUUGUCAGGGAAGAAACGGUGAGGGCUAAUAUCCCUUGCUAAUGACGGUACCUGAAGAAUAAGCACCGGCUAACUACGUGCCAGCAGCCGCGGUAAUACGUAGGGUGCAAGCGUUAAUCGGAAUUACUGGGCGUAAAGCGUGCGCAGGCGGUUUUGUAAGUCUGUCGUGAAAUCCCCGGGCUCAACCUGGGAAUUGCGAUGGAGACUGCAAGGCUAGAAUCUGGCAGAGGGGGGUUAGAAUUCCACGUGUAGCAGUGAAAUGCGUAGAGAUGUGGAGGAACACCGAUGGCGAAGGCAGCCCCCUGGGUCAAGAUUGACGCUCAUGCACGAAAGCGUGGGGAGCAAACGAGGAUUAGACUACCCGUGGUACGUCCGACCGACCCGUAACCGUACGUAGUCUACUAGUUAGUUCGGGUUUUAACGUUUAACGUUAGGUUAACGUACGAGCGUAACGUACGUGAGUAGACCGCCGUCGGGUAGGUACGGUCGCGAGAGUAAACGUACGAAGAAGUAGACGCGUGAGACGNGCGACGGACGACGACGAGGGAGGAGG
rnacentral:rRNA from 1 species